CUAGUUUAAGAGUCCAUUUAAGAGUUGUUCUGGCUCUUCUGGUCACAUUACAUGAUCUUCAAUAACGGAUGGAUUCCCCCCCCUCCCCCAGUUGUUGAAGUGCCGGCCGUGAGGUUUAUGCAUCGGGGGCCAAGUACAACAGUCCCUACGCCAGUGACGUGAUUCGCUGUCCAGAAGAGGCUCAACAGUCGAGGCUGACCUUUCGCAUCUCAAUUCCAGAUCUUACCAUAGCAACGUAAUGCAGCAAAUUCAUGCCCGGCUUGUUGGCUUUGGUGUCCGCCAGCUUGAGUAGUGAUGAAAUUCGAAAACCAGCAGCAUUCCCCGCAUAGCCACCCUGAGAAGCCAAGAGCAAGGUCACAGGAAAGAAAUAAAACAAAAGGGGCACUCACAGCAUUCAUAUAGUUCCCUGCCUUCAGCACCAAUCUUAGGAUGGAGUGCAGCUCUGGACAGCUCAGCAGUUCUGGAAGAGUAAAAGAAAAGAGAUUUCAUAUUGUUAUUAUCGAGUAAAAAUGUGCACGCAGAUAGCAUCGCUUAAACUGCUUAAAUCACAA